AAUGUGUAUUCUAACCGUACAUUAAAAAAGUGUCAUAAAACCUAUUAUGAAGACCAAAUUUAUAUAUCGAUAUUUAUACAAAUAACCACAUCUGUUCAUCAUUUCGCCCGCGUCGAGAACCCUGCAUUAACUGGAUCGAAGCAGAGAAGAGGAAUUUGCGUGAACAGAGGAGGGGCAAGCCGCUAUCCUCCAUACUUUGAAGAGCCUAAUGGUGUGCCAUGGCCUUUCCUAUGGGAACGUUAUGGAACACCACAAUAGUGGUGAUCAGUGCAGAUCUUGGCUGGGAAUGGACAGAGAUCCUACUGUAUCAGUAAUGGACAAAUUGAAACAGAAGGUGCCUUAGGAUGGAAGUGGACCAAAGAAAAUGAAAAUGAUUGCAUUUGGCCCUUCAAAGCAAUGAC